rnacentral:rRNA from 1 species
UACAGAGGGGGCAAGCGUUGUUCGGAAUUACUGGGCGUAAAGGGCGCGUAGGCGGCCUGUUAAGUCGGACGUGAAAUCCCUCGGCUCAAACCGGGGAACUGCGUGUGAUACUGGAUGGCUUGAAUCCGGGAGAGGGAUGCGGAAGUUCCAGGUGUAGCGGUGAAAUGCGUAGAUAUCGGAGGAACACCGGUGGCGAAGGCGGCAAUCCUGGACCGGCAGUUGACGCUGAUGAGCGAAAGCCAGGGGAAGCCAAAGCGGGGAUUAAGAAACCCGGUGUAACGUCCA